CGCUUCGGCGCACCCAGAAACCCUUUGUGAACUUAUACCUUACUGUUGCCUCGGCGCAGGCCGGCCUCUACUGCUGAGGCCCCCCGGAGACGGGGAGCAGCCCGCCGGCGGCCAACCAAACUCUUGUUUCUACAGUGAAUCUCUGAGUAAAAAACAUAAAUGAAUCAAAACUUUCAACAACGGAUCUCUUGGUUCUGGCAUCGAUGAAGAACGCAGCGAAAUGCGAUAAGUAAUGUGAAUUGCAGAAUUCAGUGAAUCAUCGAAUCUUUGAACGCACAUUGCGCCCUCUGGUAUUCCGGAGGGCAUGCCUGUUCGAGCGUCAUUUCAACCCUCAAGCCUGGCUUGGUGUUGGGGCACUGCCUGUAAAAGGGCAGGCCCUGAAAUCUAGUGGCGAGCUCGCUAGGACCCCGAGCGUAGUAGUUAUAUCUCGUUCUGGAAGGCCCUGGCGGUGCCCUGCCGUUAAACCCCCAACUUCUGAAAUUUUGACCUCGGAUCAGGUAGGAAUACCCGCUGAACUUAAGCAUAUCAAUAAGCGGAGGAGGUC
rnacentral:rRNA from 1 species